GAUGAAGAACGUAGCGAAAUGCGAUACGUAAUGUGAAUUGCAGAAUUCAGUGAAUCAUCGAGUCUUUGAACGCACAUUGCGCCCCCUGGUAUUCCGGGGGGCAUGCCUGUCCGAGCGUCAUUGCUGCCCUCAAGCACGGCUUGUGUGUUGGGCCUCCGUCCUCCUCCCGGGGGACGGGCCGAAAGGCAGCGGCGGCACCGCGUCCGGUCCUCGAGCGUAUGGGGCUUCGUCACCCGCUCUUGUAGGCCCGGCCGGCGCUUGCCGACACAUCAAUCUUUUUUCCAGGUUGACCUCGGAUCAGGUAGGGAUACCCGCUGAACUUAAGCAUAUCAAUAAGCGGAGGA
rnacentral:misc_RNA from 1 species